rnacentral:rRNA from 1 species
UACGUAGGCAGCAAGCGUUGUUCGGAGUUACUGGGCGUAAAGGGUGUGUAGGCGGUUAUUUAAGUUUGGUGUGAAAUCUCCCGGCUCAACCGGGAGGGUGCGCCGAAUACUGAAUGACUUGGAGUGCGGGAGAGGAAAGUGGAAUUCCUGGUGUAGCGGUGAAAUGCGCAGAUAUCAGGAGGAACACCCGUGGCGAAGGCGGCGCCCUGGUCCGUUACUGACGCUGAGACGCGAAAGCGCGGGGAGCGAACGGG